UCUCCCUCUUCCUUAUAAGAAAAAAAACUUAGAAGGAGAUUGCUCUGAUCUAAACCCCUUGAUUGCAUAUUUGAAUAAUUAGAAUAAUCCAAGAUGGAUCUCUCUAAUAAAUUAGAUGAGCUGCAUGUCCCAUAAAUUAGAUCGUAUACUGGCCAUCGGACACCAUCCUUCUCCAUAUUUUUCUCCUGUGCAACAAGUUUAUGCAAUUAAUAUGUUCGAGCACCACUCAUUUUGCGAGUAAAUGCCCAGCUGCUAUCAAUUUUCUAAGUUUAUACAUGAUCAAGCCUAUCAAGAUCAAACCCUAAUGACCUAU
rnacentral:lncRNA from 1 species